GACGAACGCUGGCGGCGUGCCUAAUACAUGCCAGUAGAACGCUGAAGGAGGAGCUUGCUUCUCUGGAUGAGUUGCGAACGGGUGAGUAACGCGUAGGUAACCUGCCUGGUAGCGGGGGAUAACUAUUGGAAACGAUAGCUAAUACCGCAUAACAGUAGAUAUCGCAUGAUAUCUACUUGAAAGGUGCAAUUGCAUCACUACCAGAUGGACCUGCGUUGUAUUAGCUAGUUGGUGAGGUAACGGCUCACCAAGGCGACGAUACAUAGCCGACCUGAGAGGGUGAUCGGCCACACUGGGACUGAGACACGGCCCAGACUCCUACGGGAGGCAGCAGUAGGGAAUCUUCGGCAAUGGACGGAAGUCUGACCGAGCAACGCCGCGUGAGUGAAGAAGGUUUUCGGAUCGUAAAGCUCUGUUGUAAGAGAAGAACGAGUGUGAGAGUGGAAAGUUCACACUGUGACGGUAUCUUACCAGAAAGGGACGGCUAACUACGU
rnacentral:rRNA from 1 species